UCAAAGGCUCUUUUCAGAGCCAUCCACUUAAGAGUUACGGUAGGCG
rfam:Aedes albopictus isolate Foshan contig60002, whole genome shotgun sequence.